rfam:Fukomys damarensis contig110231, whole genome shotgun sequence.
AUCCUUCAUUUCAUGCAUAUGAUGAUUGGGUGUUGAUGUCCUAUGCAUGAUAUGUGCCUUCCUUCAACCUUGUUAUGACAUUGGCAAAUUACCCUUCUAACC